rnacentral:rRNA from 1 species
AAAGGAUUUGAGUCCACCCUUGAGCUUUUCUAUAAUUAACAAUACAACAACAGACUCAAGAGACAUUUAAAUAAGGAACAGCUUAUUUAAAGCAGGAAACAACCUCAAACACAGGGUAAUUUAUUUAUCAAUGACCAAGUGGGCCUAAGAGCAGCCACCUUCUAAAAAGCGUUAAAGCUUAAUCAUUAAGACCUAUAAUUCCUAAAACAACAUACAACCCAUAUACACUAUCGAGUGAUUCUAUAAACCUAUAGAAAGCCUAAUGCUAAAACUAGUAACAAGAAGAAGACCUUCUCCUUAAUGUAAGCGCAAGCCAAACAAACCAUCAGGCAUAUACCGCUAUGAGUAGAAAGUAGUAACUUCACAAGAAAAACCUACUAACUUAAGCGUUAACCUUACACAAGAACAUUACAGAAAAGAUUAAAAAAAGAGGAAGGAACUCGGCAAACUAUUAAUCCCGCCUGUUUACCAAAAACAUCGCCUUCUGAUAAAAUAUAGAAGGUCCAGCCUGCCCAGUGACAAAGUUAAACGGCCGAGGUACCCUAACCGUGCAAAGGCGG